rnacentral:rRNA from 1 species
AGCGAACGCUGGCGGCAGGCCUAACACAUGCAAGUCGAGCGCCCCGCAAGGGGAGCGGCAGACGGGAGAGUAACACGUGGGAACGUACCCUUCAGUUCGGAACAACCAAGGGAAACUUUGGCUAAUACCGAAUACGUCCGUAAGGAGAAAGAUUUAUCGCUGAAGGAUCGGCCCGCGUCUGAUUAGCUAGUUGGUGGGGUAAUGGCCCACCAAGGCGACGAUCAGUAGCUGGUCUGAGAGGAUGAUCAGCCUCACUGGGACUGAGACACGGCCCAGACUCCUACGGGAGGCAGCAGUGGGGAAUAUUGGACAAUGGGCGCAAGCCUGAUCCAGCCAUGCCGCGUGGAUGAUGAAGGCCCUAGGGUUGUAAAGUCCUUUCGGCGGGGAAGAUAAUGACGGUACCCGCAGAAGAAGCCCCGGCUAACUUCGUGCCAGCAGCCGCAGUAAAAC